rnacentral:rRNA from 1 species
UACGUAGGGGGCUAGCGUUGCUCGGAAUUACUGGGCGUAAAGCGCACGUAGGCGGAUACUUAAGUCAGGGGUGAAAUCCCGGGGCUCAACCCCGGAACUGCCUUUGAUACUGGGUAUCUCGAGUCCGGAAGAGGUGAGUGGAAUUCCGAGUGUAGAGGUGAAAUUCGUAGAUAUUCGGAGGAACACCAGUGGCGAAGGCGGCUCACUGGUCCGGUACUGACGCUGAGGUGCGAAAGCGUGGGGAGCAAACAGG